rnacentral:tmRNA from 1 species
GGGGAUGUAAUGGUUUCGACGGGGUUUUGAAGUUAUCGGAAGCGAGCCGUGCAACUCCUCUGUAUCACGCUAAACUCAGGGGAACUAAAGAUAAACGCAAACAACGAUUUUGCACUGGCUGCCUAAUAGCCGCAGCCCGUUUUUACCAAAUGUCCUACAGCUUGGAUAAAAACGUCACUUUGUAGGGAACUACCGUCGGGAUAUCCGGACCUUCGGUAGAGCCAUUCGGAUGUAGCGGAGGAAGAGCUCGGUUGACGGGGCGCUUCGGAAGCGAAACUCAAAUUCGUCGACUACGCUCGUAGAAACUGAUAAUGAAUGGAUUUCGGACAGGAGUUCGAUUCUCCUCAUCUCCACCA